rnacentral:tRNA from 1 species
GGGGUUGGGGAUUUAGCUCAGUGGUAGAGCGCUUGCCUAGCAAGCGCAAGGCCCUGGGUUCAGUCCCCAGCUCCAA